GCCGUCUUAGCUCAGUUGGUAGAGCGGCGCAUUCGUAACGCGCAGGUCGCCAGUUCAAUCCUGGCAGACGGCUCCA
rnacentral:tRNA from 1 species